GAUGAACGCUAGCGGCAGGCUUAAUACAUGCAAGUCGAGGGAGAAUGAGGCUUCGGCCUCAGGGAACCGGCGCACGGGUGCGUAACGCGUACACAACAUGCCUUAUACUGGAGUAUAGCCUCGGGAAACUGGGAGUAAUCCUCCAUAACAUUAUCGGGUGGCAUCAUCUGGUAAUUAAAGCUCAGGCGGUAUAAGAUUGGUGUGCGUAUGAUUAGCUAGUUGGUAGGGUAAUGGCCUACCAAGGCGACGAUCAUUAGCUGGCGUGAGAGCGCGACCAGCCACACUGGAACUGAGACACGGUCCAGACUCCUACGGGAGGCAGCAGUAGGGAAUAUUGGACAAUGGGCGAAAGCCUGAUCCAGCCAUGCCGCGUGAUGGAUGAAGGCCCUCUGGGCUGUAAACAUCUUUUAUCAGGGAAGAAACACCUCGUCUCUACGAGGCUUGACGGUACCUGAUGAAUAAGCACCGGCUAACUCCGUGCCAGCCGCCGCGGUAACAC
rnacentral:rRNA from 1 species